GUCAUGCGAGAAAGCCAGCAAAUACUUCCAACUCCAACGUCGAAAAGGACACGGAACACGUGGCUUUUCGUCUCUUAUCGUUGCAACAAUCGAUUCGGUUUUCGACACGAGACCCCCUCCAUACCGAAUAAUUUACGAUUUUGAUGAUGAAGAUGUACACAUUUCGAUUGUGCUAGCAGUAGCUGUAGAGGAAAAAGAAAUUGAAGAACACUGGAAUCAUGUUCUACAACAUUUUGUUCCGGCGAUAGGUUAAUUGGAUACUUGAUUGGAGAAAAACAAUUAUUUAUAAGACACUUUUUUAUUUCAGAACCCCUUCAAUUCGAGAAAGAUGUCCGAAGAUAUGUUACUACGAAAGUAGAAAGUUUAGCUAAUAAUUCAGAAGAAGUAGUUUCACCUUAUUCAGG
rnacentral:sRNA from 1 species